rnacentral:rRNA from 1 species
AUUGAACGCUGGCGGCAGGCCUAACACAUGCAAGUCGAACGAGUGGCGGACGGGUGAGUAAUGUCUGGGAAACUGCCUGAUGGAGGGGGAUAACUACUGGAAAUGGUAGCUAAUACCGCAUACCAUCGGAUGUGCCCAGUUGGGAUUAGCUAGUAGGUGGGGUAACGGCUCACCUAGGCGACGACCCCUAGCUGGUCUGAGAGGAUGACCAGCCACACUGGAACGGCGACACGGUCCAGACUCCUACGGGACGCAGCAGUGGUGAAUAUUGCACACUUGGCCCAAGCCUGAUUCAGCCAUGCCGCGGGUAUGAAGAAGGCCUUCGGGUUGUAAAGUACUUUCAGCGAGGAGGGGUUACGCGGAGAAGAAGCACGGGCUAACUCCGUGCCAGCAGCCGCGGUAAUAC